rnacentral:rRNA from 1 species
UACGAAGGGGGCUAGCGUUGCUCGGAAUUACUGGGCGUAAAGCGCGCGCAGGCGGUCUUCCAAGUCAGUGGUGAAAGCCCGGAGCUCAACUCCGGAACUGCCAUUGAAACUGUAAGACUUGAGGAUGAGAGAGGUGAGUGGAAUUCCCAGUGUAGAGGUGAAAUUCGUAGAUAUUGGGAAGAACACCGGUGGCGAAGGCGGCUCACUGGCUCAUAUCUGACGCUCAGGCGCGACAGCGUGGGGAUCAAACAGG